ensembl:lncRNA
AAAUAUCUUUGCUUGCCACAGACACAGGACCCCAUCGCCCACUCACUUCCAAGGUUCUACUGAAGCUGCCAAAUGGGGUAACCACUCCAAGGUUCCUGUGUCACAGUGCCUGUGAUCACCAAGCAUGGCUGAUCUCAAGAACAAUAUGAUGAGUAAAGCCAUCUCUAAACUUUCCACAGCAAGGAACCAUGUCUCAAGCAGUGCCCAGGACUCUAUAGAGCCUCAGUAAAUGAUGGUGAAGAGAACAGAAGUAGAAUGAAAGGAUGCUAGCAAAUAUGCCACAUAGUGAGCAAAUGUACUUUUUACUGGAUCUAUGCUGCAGUCAUUCAAUAAGCAUUUGUUGAAUACUACUUGUUCUAGUCAUGAUGAUGCAUACUUGAAACUUUUACAAAUGGAUAACAUGAAGGUAAUAGAAGAGGUGUGCUUGGAGUCCACACUCAGAAGGGGCACAUACCGCCUGGCAUUGUCAGUGGACAAUGUGAGAAUGACACCUGAACACAGGUGUUAAUGAGGCAUGAAGGGACAGCGGAUGGAUAGAAAAAGCCUAGUCCAAAGGAGACUUAUGAAGAGUCAACAAAUCCAUCCAUUCUUUCAACAAGGAACUUCUUACAAAGACAAAUGGUCUCUACAUAUUAGUCACUCUCUAAAUUGAUGGCUUACUAUGUUGCCAAAUUUUGCUAUAGCAAACAGACAUCUUUCAUGUAGGGUGACAUUGACACCACCAACCCCAAACCCUCAACAUUCCCAUGUGAUUGACUCACUGGACAGACUCAAAUGCCUGUACUCAAGUGUGGGCUGACCUCCCUGACUGUGGUCCCAGCACAUGCAGUGUUCCAGUAUGUUCUGGCCAGGCUAAGAAAGCAGCAAGCUUUUGUGUCAUUUCCACCCCCCUCAGAGCUAGCUCUUGUCAUGCAUCUACCACCCAAUGUAAUAUUUCACGCCAGGGCCUGAAGCUCCUUAAGGAAGCCUAGUAGAGAGAGGAUAAUGAGGCAAGACUUUGAGAAAUUUUCAAGAAAGAAUCACAGGAACUUUAAACACUUAGCCAAACUACUUAGAAAUGGAAUGGAAAUGAGUUCUCAUGUUGACCUAGAAUAAAAAAUUAAACUCAAGUACAAAGACCUUGAAAGUCAAAGUAGGUAAGAAGAGAAGCAAGGUGUUCCUGUCCUUAACCACUCAGAAUCUCUGGCCUGACAGUCAAUUAUCUUCUACAUUUUUUAUGGACCAUCCUGGUCUGCCCGUGCCAGAGGUACAGCCACAGAGCUUUACCUUACUAUCUUUGAAACAGAGUUACUCAUAAAUGGACACACAUAUGGGUACCUCCCCAUGUCAGUCCAUAUAUAAAAGGAUUGUGGAGAAGCAAGAAGGAAAGACCUCCAAGAGAGUCAUCAGCAAGCACCGGGCUUCUCAGGGCUGACUCUCUGUCUGGAGGUGUGUAGAAACACACAGGAAUCACCAUGGGGCUGAAUCCAGUCCUCCCUGGAUGUGGCCCUAUUGGGCUACUCCACAUGCUCAAGCUUACUCAUUCUCAUCCAUAUGUACUGCAUUAAAGAUAGAUCGCAGUCACCCUGUACCUCCAAGAAGCAAGUGCCUCAACCUUGACUUGAUCCCAUGGUCUUGAGUCAGGCGGGCCAAUGCCAUUCUGGUUUUGCUUCUGAGUUUUCACUAUGAAAGACAAGAUCUUUGAGAUAGAGAAAGGAUAAGGGAAAACAGCUACUGUGGACCUUUGGGGAACUGUUCUUU